AUUGAACGCUGGCGGCAGGCCUAACACAUGCAAGUCGAACGAGUGGCGGACGGGUGAGUAAUGUCUGGGAAACUGCCCGAUGGAGGGGGAUAAAUACUGGAAACGGUAGCUAAUACCGCAUACAAUCGGCUGUGCAAAGAUGGGAUUAGCUAGUAGGGGGGGUAAAGGCUCACCUAGGCGACGAACCCUAGAUGGUCUGGGUGGAUGACCAGCAAGCCGGGAACUGAGACACGGUCCAGACUCCUACGGGAGGCAGCAGUGGGGAAUAUUGCACAAUGGGCGCAAGCCUGAUGCAGCCAUGCCGCUUGUAUGAAGAAGGCCUUCGGGUUGUAAAGUACUUUCAGCGAGGAGGCGUUACUCGCAGAAGAAGCACCGGCUAACUCCGUGCCAGCAGCCGCGGUAAUAC
rnacentral:rRNA from 1 species